rnacentral:miRNA from 1 species
CUCAGUUCCUUGGGUUCUGCUGCU